AUCCAUGUGGAAGCCCGUUUGUUUUUACUGACCACAGACUACACACAGCUUCAUAAUGAUUUGAAUGGUUGAUUUACUGCAAUUCUACUAGCAACCUCUUGAAUAUUAUAUUAAUAACCUUAAAUGAAACUCUAGCUAUUUGUAUUUCUGUUUCUAACUCUUUUUGUAUAUUGGACAGCUUACCGUCACGUUCCUGAUUUUUAAUGUUUGUGUUUAUAAGGGCGCCUACAACCCCAUCCGUUUACAGUCUGCUUUAUUGUCCAACGAAACUGUUUGAAACCAGUCCCGGGUUCGGACCAGUCAAGGGUUCGGACCAGUCAAGGGUUCGGACCAGUCACGGGUUCGGACCAGUCGAUCUGCUCUGAUCAGUGGGUCACUUAUUUAAAACAUACUGGUCGGUGAUUUGAGCUAACACAUGAAGGAUCUACUGGAAAUUAUCUACCCGAGUAAUAUGUGAAUUUGACUGAUACAAAAGUAUAACUUGCGUGUUGAAGAGCCGGUGAUAUCUGGCAGCUCCUACAAUGACGUACAGUCGACCUCUUUGUUUAUCAAUCGCUGUAUCUGGCUUUUCUAUUUUUGUUUUUUCCGUCUCCACCACAAUAAAUGCUAUAUUAUCACUAUAGUUGACUGGUGAAAAUUUUGGAGGAAGGACGCUUUUUCUGUAGUAAUAAUUGCUUCUCGUUGUGUAUAUUGCGACCGCUGGUAACUACAGGUUAUAUGAAAUUCACAGUAACGUCUCGUAUUUCAAGAAAAAGAAACUAAUGAAAGUCACUCCACUCCACUAAGUACCAUUAUAAUACUGGUUAGAUGCUACUACAACACUGUAUUCUGCUAUUCACUGGUAUCACUAGAUUAUAUGCGAGUACACUAGCAGGCCAGGAAGAUUAUUAAAAACAGCUGACCUGUGGUAAGUUUCUGGCGACUUCUUGCACCUGCCUCUAUAGGCUUAUCACUUCAUUUACAAAUUCGCCCAAAAAAGAAAAACAAAAGUUUCUCUUUUUAAAUUUAGUAAUUUAUAUGGGAGAAGGGGUUACUAGCCCCUUGCUCCCAGCAUUUUAGUUGCCUCUUACAACACGCAUGGCUAACGGAGGAAGAAUUCUGUUCCACUUCCAUGUGCUUGAUAUUGUUAUCCAACAUAUUAAGCAACCAUAGUCAUUUUUUAAUAUCACAUUAGACUUUUGUGCUAUAUUUAUACCAUACACUUCCCCCUCAUGACAGUUCCUUUACAUACAUGGUAGUCGAUUAUGAUCUUCGUUGUCAUAAGAGUAGAGGAGCACUGCAGCAGAGCUAGUGACACAUGCAAAGAAGGUCCUCAUGUCUAAGUGAGCAUCAGAGGGCAGGCACUGUUUUGGUCCUGUGGCUGCCACUGAGUCCUCAGUUGGUCACUUGCAUAUACUUAUUAGCCCCGGGGUCAUUUUAGUAAAUAUAAGUCUUAAUUUUUGGACUUGAUGGUGUGGGAAUUGAGAGCUUAAGUUUAUUUUGUUUUGAACUCAUCAGCAGUCUCCUACCAAGGUAGAGUGACCUAAAACAGGAAACAUUCACCAUUAUUCAUUUAGUUACUUGCCAGCACACUUAUGACAAGACAUAAUUCAGAUGAUGCUCUUAACUACAUCAUUCUCACCCUUCCUUCAAAGUGUAAGCAUUGCCCUUUCCACCUCCAGGACUCUUGAGUCUGCUAACUGAUUUCCCUGAAUCCCUUCAUACACACUAACAGUUCAUCAAGUCAAAAAACAAAAAACUUGCUGCCACAUCUGUCAGAUAUGCUAAUACAUACCUGCUGAAUGUCCAAGCCCCUCACAUACAAAACCUCCUUGACCCCCUUCCCUCCAACCUUUCCUAGGGCAACCCCUACCUCACCUUCCUCCACCACAGAUUUAUACACCCUCCAAGUCAUCCUAUUUUGGUACAUCCUCUCUUAAUGUCCAGACCACCUCAACAGCCCCUCCUCAGCAGUCUGGAUAAUACUUUUAGUAACCCCACACCUCCUGAUCUCCAAACGACGAAUUGCCCUCGGAUACAAUAUCUCCACUGCCUCCAUCCUCCUCCUUGAUGCAACAUUGGUAUCUCGUGCUUCACACCCACAUAAGAAUGGAUAAUGUUCUUUGUCUCCACAAAUGCCUCGAUGCACCACCCACCUUUUUUCCCAUCAUCAAUUCUGUGGUUUACCUCAUCUUUCACAGAACCGUCCACUAACAAAUCCACUCCUAAAUAUUGAACACAUUGACUUCCUCCAAACUCCCUUCUUUCAGUCUGACAUCCAGUCUUCCGUUACCUACAUAUUUUGUUACCCCUCAUCAACUUGCUCUUUACAUAACUUAAAUACUGUAUUGGAUAUUAAACUUAGCAUUCGGACAAUUACAUUUAACUUGGUGUCAGUUUCAAAAAUGUAACCUGCACAGUGGGUCUACUGUAUUAUACAUGUAAUUUGGUCAGACAUUUUCUUACCUUAAAAUAUGGUACAGUCCACCUAAUAAGUCAUGGUCCUGUACAUUUGGUACUACAGUAUAAUAUUGCUGAGCACUCAGUGACCCUGGAGGGAAUAGUGAUGGUUUAGAGAGCACUACAAGUUGGGACAGUUAACUAGUUCUACAUAUAUAUGUGUGCACCCACACGUGUAUGCUACAUGUUUGCUCUUGAGCAUUUCAUGAUGACAUACCUUUUUUUUUUUAUUAUGAAAUGCUCAAGAGCAAACAUGUUAAAUUUUAUACAUGUGUGAGACUUGCUUUGGUACAUUUAUCUGCCAGUCAAAUCCUCUCAUCCAUUUUAUCAGUUUUAUUUAGUUUUUGAACAGUUUAGUGAUUAAAAUUACAAUCAGGUCUCAUUGAAAGAGCAUUAUUAUUAUUAUAAUUAGAGGGAAGUGCUAAAUCCAUAGUGAUCAUACAGCACUUGGGAAAAUGGGAGUCUAUCAUUUUGAUCCAAGGAAUGGGAAGACAUUCAGUUCCUUGAAUCAAGAGUCCCUCACCACUCCAAGCCACCUAAUUUGAGGUGUGUUGAAAGAGUGGCCAGUUUAAUGAGUUGAGUCUAAAGGUUUCAAAAACAAAAGAACAAGCUCAAGUUCUCCAUAUAAUUUAACUAGCAAGUUGAGAGGAACUGUUCUAAUUGUUACUGGUUGAGUGAGAUAGUCACAGUUAAUCACUGAUAGUGGCAAGCUGGCCUAAUAGACUUCAUUUUUUAUAUUAAGUGAAUUACGUGGCAGGAUAACCCAAAAGCCUAGAAAAUUUUGUUUUAUUUGUAUUUAAGUUAGUUCUCAUUCAUUGUCUUUACUUGCAUUAUACUUAUUUACAUUAUUAAAUAAAAAAUUUUACACUUCUGGAUAUUAUAGGUUUUACUGUUUACAAUGCAUUGAAAUGUGUAAUAUAUAUCAGAAACAGAAAUUGGUAUUUAAAAAUCAUUUAUGGAUUUGGAAAAGGCAUAUGACAGGGUGGAUAGGGGGGCAAUGUGGCAGAUGUUGCAGGUGUAUGGUGUAGGAGGUAGGUUACUGAAAGCAGUGAAGAGUUUUUACGAGGAUAGUGAGGCUCAAGUUAGAGUGUGUAGGAAAGAGGGAAAUUAUUUCCCAGUAAAAGUAGGCCUUAGACAAGGAUGUGUGAUGUCACCGUGGUUGUUUAACAUAUUUAUAGAUGGGGUUGUAAGAGAAGUAAAUGCGAGGGUCUUGGCAAGAGACAUGGAGUUAAAAGAUAAAGAAUCACACAUAAAGUGGGAGUUGUCACAGUUGCUCUUUGCUGAUGACACUGUGCUCUUGGGAGAUUCUGAAGAGAAGUUGCAGAGAUUGGUGGAUGAAUUUGGUAGGGUGUGCAAAAGAAGAAAAUUAAAAGUGAAUACAGGAAAGAGUAAGGUUAUGAGGAUAACAAAAAGAUUAGGUGAUGAAAGAUUGGAUAUCAGAUUGGAGGGAGGGAGUAUGGAGGAGGUGAAUGUAUUCAGAUAUUUGGGAGUGGACGUGUCAGCGGAUGGGUCUAUGAAAGAUGAGGUGAAUCAUAGAAUUGAUGAGGGGAAAAGGGUGAGCGGUGCACUUUGGAGUCUGUGGAGACAAAGAGGGGAAUGUAUGAGAGUAUAGUUUUACCAAUGCUCUUAUAUGGGUGUGAAGCAUGGGUGAUGAAUGUUGCAGCGAGGAGAAGGCUGGAGGCAGUGGAGCUGUCAUGUCUGAGGGCAAUGUGUGGUGUGAAUAUAAUGCAGAGAAUUCGUAGUUUGGAAGUUAGGAGGAGGUGCGGGAUUACCAAAACUGUUGUCCAGAGGGCUGAGGAAGGGUUGUUGAGGUGGUUCAGACAUGUAGAGAAUGGAGCGAAACAGUGUAACUUCAAGAGUGUAUCAGUCUGGAAGGAAGGCGGGGUAGGGGUCGGCCUAGGAAAGGUUGGAGGGAGGGGGUAAAGGAGGUUUUGUGUGCGAGGGGCUUGGACUUCCAGCAGGCAUGCGUGAGCGUGUUUGAUAGGAGUGAAUGGAGACAAGUGGUUUUUAAUACUUGACGUGCUGUUGGAGUGUGAGCAAAGUAACAUUUAUGAAGGGGUUCAGGGAAACCGGCAGGCCGGACUUGAGUCCUGGAGAUGGGAAGUACAGUGCCUGCACUCUGAAAGAGGGAUGUUAAUGUUGCAGUUUAAAAACUGUAGUGUAAAGCACCCUUCUGGCAAGACAGUGAUGGAGUGAAUGAUGGUGAAAGUUUUUCUUUUUCGAACCACCCUGCCUUGGUGGGAAUCGGCCAGUGUGAUAAUAAAAAAAAAUCAUUUCCUCUAAUGUCACUAUUUUUAUUACAUUGUACCUUGCAUGUACAGCUUAAAUCCAUUCUUCAGGUAUCAUAACAUUAUUGACACAGCAACACCAUGGAAUCUUGGUACAUUGGAUAUUUUCUAUAUCCAGCUUUCUAAACUCUGGUCCAAGUCUUGGGCAUGACCUACUUCCACUAGUGGGUUCUGCCCACCAGUGAUAGUGCCUUCAACUACUGCACCUCAUUUGAUUCCAGUAUAUAAGAAUUAUUCAUCUUGUUUAUGCUUUAGAUUCAUAAAGACUAUGAUAGUGAACACUUUCAAGGCUGAGGACCAUAUUACCUCAUCUGUUGUCUCCUGUUAUAAUUAUUAUAAUAAUGGGGAAAUGCUAUAUCUGUAGGAUUAUACAGCACCUGUGGGGGGGGGAAUGGAAGGUAUUCAGGCUUAAUUCAGGGAACUGGAACACAGAUCCAAUUCCCUUGAUCAAGGGCCCCUCACCAGCAUCAAGGAAUCCCCCUCGAGGGGACUGUCUCCUGUUACUUGUGCUGUAUUAAAUUGAUAAGUCAGUGGUUGGUGAAGCAUCUUUAAAAUAUAGGUACUCAGGUGUUGAACAUAUCUAAUUCAUCAUUAUGUUGGUAUUGCUUACCAGUAAUGUAAUGAUACUUGUCUGACACAACCAUUAUUAUUAUUAUUAUUAUUAUUACUAUUAUUAUUAUUAUUACUAUUAUUAUUAUUAUUAUUAUUAUUAUUAUUCAGAUGUGACAUAGAAUAGAACUCGUGGAAAGAGCUAUGUUAUACUGUAGAAAUAGAUACUCAAAUCACUUCAUUUUUAGGAUGCAUUACUGUAUUACCUAUUUGUAGCUACAGGAGCAGAGCUAUACUCAUGAUAUCCAGUCUUCUAUCAUAUAGAUUAAUUUCUAUGUGACGUACAUGGUAAUGUAAUCAUAGAUCCAAAUAUGUGGCUAAUUUACCUGUAUGUCUGGUUAGCUGUUGCCAACUCUAGUGCUCUUGGGAUGAACAUGUGACUUGUGCAGGCUCCCCAUGUAAUUGUAAUAUACUGAUGUAUUCCAAAUGUUAUCUUGCAUUUUUCUAUAAUGAAUAUUAUUUGCCAGUCUGUUGCCCAAUAGUGAAGUUGCAUAGGCAUGGUAGUAAUGCCUUCUCUGCUGUUCACCAUAAAUCUCUGAAAAAAAUUCUCAUGGCAUUCUAUUCAAAAACAAUGAUUGUAGCUGCAUUCUACUCUAUUAUAAUACUUGAUUUUAAAGUUCCAGCCAUUGUUUUAUACAUUGUAAAGUAUGUGAUGUAGAAAUGAUGUUAAUUGUACUUAAAUUGUAUUGUUGAUCUCAUGUAGCCAUCUUUUAAAACAUUUCAAAUAUACUGUAUGAAUGCAGUAUUUUUAAUGGAAUAAUAUCAUUAUUGAAAAAGGACUUUUUUUUUUUUUCAAUGAACUGGCCAUAUCCCACUGAGGCAGGGUGACCUAAAAACAAACUUAAAAGUUUUUCUUUUUACAUUAAUAAUUUAUACAGGAGAAGGGGUUACUAGCCCCUUGCCCCACCUCAAAAAGGAAUGCAAUUAUAUAGUGGUGCCUCGAGUUUUGAACUUAAUUCGUUCCAGAAGGCUGUUCAAGUCCCAAUACCGAACAAAUUUGUUCCUAUAAGGAAUAAUGUAAAUUAGAUUAGUCUGUUUGAGACCCCCAAAAAUACACUUACAAAAAUACACUUACAUAAUUGUUUGAGUUGGGAGCUGUUUGAAAUUCGAGGUACCACUGUAUAUGUAAAACUUGCUAAGUUAUACAGUAUUAUAAUGAUUGCUUCUUCAUUUAUUUAAUAUGUACAGUAUUUUGAAAACUAUUCAAUGAUUUUUGUUCUGUUACAUUUGAUAUUUUGGCUGCAAGUGACUAUCAACAAGAUGCAGUUUUUGCUUCAAAAUAUUUCUGCUUGUUUAAUUUUUUGUGGCAAUAUGUAUAAAAAUAUUAUCUCCUGUGUUACCCUAAGUACUUCCUUUUUAAGAUGUUUUAUAAACAUGUACAGUACUAUGCAUUUUAGAUCUGUAUAUAAAUAAACAAAACCUGUGUAAAAUGUAUAGGUUUCACCUUAUUUAAAUUUGUGUCACUUUCAAUUUAGAUAUUCAGCAGUUUAAGAUAUAGUCAAGUAAAACAAACACUUCAUAUCAACAAAAUCCUGUGAAAUUUUUCUAGAUGUACCUGUUCUAUUUAGGGCAGAAGCAUUAAACCCAUAUGGGCCAUACAAUGCCUGAACAGUCAUAUUCAAUCCAACUAAGAGGACACAUCUUACCCAUUGGAUCAAGAGCCUUUACCAGCAUUAAGGAACCUUCCUUGAGAGAUGACAAGGGAAAACGGUGAGUAUAUGAGAAUAGCUCUUAGCUAAUCUUACCACAACCUUCUUUAACCCUUUCAGGGUCCGUCCCGUAGAUCUACGGCUUUACGGUGAGUGUCCAAACCGUAGAUCUACGCCAUGAGCUCAGCUCACUCUGAUAAACUGUGAGUGGUACAUUUGGGCCUAGAUAUGAGAGAAUACAUCUAUGUGGUAUGUGUGCACCACAUAAAACAGAUCCUGCAGCACACUGUGUAUAAUGAGAGAAAAAAACUGAAAUCAUGAUUUUUCGAUUAAAACAGCGACUUUGCAGUGUUUUUUCGUAUGUUUUUUAUAGUUGUAUUUGCGAUUUCUUGGUCUCAUUUGAUAGAAUGGAAGACAUAUUACAGAAAUAGAGAUGAUUUUGAUUGGUUUUAGCACUGGAAAUGGCUUGAAACUGAGCUCAAAGUAGCGGAAAUGUUAAAUUUUUGCCGAUAUUCAAGAGUAAACAAACGACCUCACACAUCUAAUACACGUCAGCUGGUGGGUCUAAUAUACAUUCACAAAUAUGGUGAUGAUAUUUAUACAAUUAUUACAGUAUUGCAUAACAGUAAAUCUAUUUUUUGGUGUGAAUAAAAAUUCAUUAUGUGAAUAAAAAAUCAAAGUGGAA